rnacentral:rRNA from 1 species
AUUGAACGCUGGCGGCAGGCUUAACACAUGCAAGUCGAGCGGAGAUGAGGUGCUUGCACCUUAUCUUAGCGGCGGACGGGUGAGUAAUGCUUAGGAAUCUGCCUAUUAGUGGGGGACAACAUUCCGAAAGGAAUGCUAAUACCGCAUACGUCCUACGGGAGAAAGCAGGGGAUCUUCGGACCUUGCGCUAAUAGAUGAGCCUAAGUCGGAUUAGCUAGUUGGUGGGGUAAAGGCCUACCAAGGCGACGAUCUGUAGCGGGUCUGAGAGGAUGGUCCGCCACACUGGGACUGAGACACGGCCCAGACUCCUACGGGAGGCAGCAGUGGGGAAUAUUGGACAAUGGGGGAAACCCUGAUCCAGCCAUGCCGCGUGUGUGAAGAAGGCCUUAUGGUUGUAAAGCACUUUAAGCGAGGAGGAGGCUACUGAGACUAAUACUCUUGGAUAGUGGACGUUACUCGCGGAAUAAGCACCGGCUAACUCUGUGCCAGCCGCCGCGGUAA